GACGAACGCUGGCGGCGUGCUUAACACAUGCAAGUCGAACGGAAAGGCCCUGCUUUUGUGGGGUGCUCGAGUGGCGAACGGGUGAGUAACACGUGAGUAACCUGCCCUUGACUUUGGGAUAACUUCAGGAAACUGGGGCUAAUACCGGAUAGGAGCUCCUGUUGCAUGGUGGGGGUUGGAAAGUUUCGGCGGUUGGGGAUGGACUCGCGGCUUACCAGCUUGUUGGUGGGGUAGUGGCUUACCAAGGCUUUGACGGGUAGCCGGCCUGAGAGGGUGACCGGCCACAUUGGGACUGAGAUACGGCCCAGACUCCUACGGGAGGCAGCAGUGGGGAAUAUUGCACAAUGGGCGGAAGCCUGAUGCAGCAACGCCGCGUGCGGGAUGACGGCCUUCGGGUUGUAAACCGCUUUCGCCUGUGACGAAGCGUGAGUGACGGUAAUGGGUAAAGAAGCACCGGCUAACUACGUG
rnacentral:rRNA from 1 species